rnacentral:rRNA from 1 species
UACGUAGGUGGCAAGCGUUAUCCGGAAUUACUGGGCGUAAAGCGCACGCAGGCGGCUCUUUAAGUUUGACGUGAAAGCUCCUGGCUUAACUGGGAGAGGUCGUUGAAGACUGGAGAGCUUGAGGCAAUGAGAGGGGUGUAGAAUUCCCGGUGUAGUGGUGGAAUGCGUAGAUAUCGGGAGGAAUACCAGUGGCGAAAGCGGCACCCUGGCAUUGGCCUGACGCUCAUGUGCGAAAGCGUGGGGAGCG